AGAUGUAGCAGGUCUGUUGUCCUUACCUCACAGCAGUACUACUUUAGAUGUAGCAGGUCUGUUGUCUUUACCUCCCAGUGGUGGUACUUUAGAUGUAGCAGGUCUGUUGUCCUUACCUCACAGCAGUACUACUUUAGAUGUAGCAGGUCUGUUGUCUUUACCUCCCAGUGGUGGUACUUUAGAUGUAGCAGGUCUGUUGUCCUUACCUCACAGCAGUACUACUUUAGAUGUAGCAGGUCUGUUGUCCUUACCUCACAGCAGUACUACUUUAGAUGUAGCAGGUCUGUUGUCCUUACCUCACAGCAGUACUACUUUAGAUGUAGCAGGUCUGUUGUCCUUACCUCACAGCAGUACUACUUUAGAUGUAGCAGGUCUGUUGUCCUUACCUCCCAGUGGUGGUACUUUAGAUGUAGCAGGUCUGUUGUCCUUACCUCCCAGUGGUGGUACUUUAGAUGUAGCAGGUCUGAUGUCCUUACCUCACAGCGGUAGCACUUGAGGUGGAAGUUCUUGUCAAGGGCCACGACUCUGACGGUCUCUUGACUGCCGGCGUC